GACGAACGCUGGCGGCGCGCCUAACACAUGCAAGUCGAACGAGAGAUGAGGAGCUUGCUCUUCAAAUCGAGUGGCGAACGGGUGAGUAACGCGUGAGGAACCUGCCUCAAAGAGGGGGACAACAGUUGGAAACGACUGCUAAUACCGCAUAAGCCCACGGCUCGGCAUCGAGCAGAGGGAAAAGGAGCAAUCCGCUUUGAGAUGGCCUCGCGUCCGAUUAGCUAGUUGGUGAGGUAACGGCCCACCAAGGCGACGAUCGGUAGCCGGACUGAGAGGUUGAACGGCCACAUUAGGACUGAGACACGGCCCAGACUCCUACGGGAGGCAGCAGUGGGGAAUAUUGCACAAUGGGGGAAACCCUGAUGCAGCGACGCCGCGUGGAGGAAGAAGGUCUUCGGAUUGUAAACUCCUGUUGUUGAGGAAGAUAAUGACGGUACUCAACAAGGAAGUGACGGCUAACUACGUGCCAGCAGCCGCGGUAAAACGUAGGUCACAAGCGUUGUCCGGAAUUACUGGGUGUAAAGGGAGCGCAGGCGGGAGAACAAGUUGGAAGUGAAAUCCAUGGGCUCAACCCAUGAACUGCUUUCAAAACUGUUUUUCUUGAGUAGUGCAGAGGUAGGCGGAAUUCCCGGUGUAGCGGUGGAAUGCGUAGAUAUCGGGAGGAACACCAGUGGCGAAGGCGGCCUACUGGGCACCAACUGACGCUGAGGCUCGAAAGUGUGGGUAGCAAACAGGAUUAGAUACCCUGGUAGUCCACACCGUAAACGAUGAUUACUAGGUGUUGGAGGAUUGACCCCUUCAGUGCCGCAGUUAACACAAUAAGUAAUCCACCUGGGGAGUACGACCGCAAGGUUGAAACUCAAAGGAAUUGACGGGGGCCCGCACAAGCAGUGGAGUAUGUGGUUUAAUUCGACGCAACGCGAAGAACCUUACCAAGUCUUGACAUCCUGCGACGCACAUAGAAAUAUGUGUUUCCUUCGGGACGCAGAGACAGGUGGUGCAUGGUUGUCGUCAGCUCGUGUCGUGAGAUGUUGGGUUAAGUCCCGCAACGAGCGCAACCCUUAUGGUCAGUUACUACGCAAGAGGACUCUGGCCAGACUGCCGUUGACAAAACGGAGGAAGGUGGGGAUGACGUCAAAUCAUCAUGCCCUUUAUGACUUGGGCUACACACGUACUACAAUGGCGUUAAACAAAGAGAAGCAAGACCGCGAGGUGGAGCAAAACUCAGAAACAACGUCCCAGUUCGGACUGCAGGCUGCAACUCGCCUGCACGAAGUCGGAAUUGCUAGUAAUCGUGGAUCAGCAUGCCACGGUGAAUACGUUCCCGGGCCU
rnacentral:rRNA from 1 species